rnacentral:rRNA from 1 species
AUUGAACGCUGGCGGCAGGCUUAACACAUGCAAGUCGAGCGAGCGGCGGACGGGUGAGUAAUGUCUGGGAAACUGCCUGAUGGAGGGGGAUAACUACUGGAAACGGUAGCUAAUACCGCAUACCAUCAGAUGUGCCCAGAUGGGAUUAGCUAGUAGGUGGGGUAAUGGCUCACCUAGGCGACGAUCCCUAGCUGGUCUGAGAGGAUUACCAGCAACGCUGGAAGGUAGAAACGGUUCCGGCUCGUACGGGAGGCAGCAGUGGGGGAUAGGGCACAAGGGUCGGAAGACUGCUGCAGGGACGCCACGUGGGGGAUGAAGUCGUUAGGGUUGUAAAGCUGUUGGGCUGGGGAAGGGGUAGGUGGAGAAGAAGCGCCGGCUAACUACGUGCCAGCCGCCGCGGUAAUAC